rnacentral:misc_RNA from 1 species
GGAAAAAGUAAGUUGAUAUAAUUAAAUGUUCCUGCAACCUCUUAAAUAAGUUUGACCAUAUUAGAUAUGUUCUAGUGACAAAGUUUCAAAGUUAGGCAACUGGCAUGUAGAGUAGCAGAUGCAAAUAUGGUGCGAAGCGGAAGAAUCCUUUUCAUCAAAAGAGCAUCAUAGCAUUGUUCCCCAGGAUUCACUUCAAUCAAUGUUAUCUUUCUACUAACAUGCAUAUCCAAUUGAAUAUUCUUAUAUUUUUCUGAUAAGCAUUACUGAUUAAAUUAUACAAUAGAUAAAGAGUUGUCAAUUAUGAUUCCGGGGUUAAUUAAGCAUCACCUAUAGGGGGC